UGGUCACAUAUAUGGAAAAGGGUGGCUGGCCAUGUGCUAUUUUAGAGUGGUGUGAACCCAAUUUUAUAAAAUUCAAAUCCCAUUUAAUUAAGAAGUCAAGUGGGCAAGUGGGUAGAAAAGCACUCAAGUGUUUUGUGAUAUUUUGAAGAGUUGUGUGAGCCAUUCUAACCCCCAAAUCCAACCACUCUCCCUCCCUCAUUCACUCUCAUCUGAUUUUUGAAGACUCUCUCAAGUGUUCUCUCCAUUUUGAACCCCAAGAACACCAAAGAAACUUGGAAGCUAAGUCUUGGUCUAGGAAGGGUUUUCCCUAAGUUGGUUAGGGUUUUUGAAAGGUUUUGAAGGAGUCAAAGCUUAUAGGAAGGUCCAAACCUUAAGCAAGAACACCAAAGAGUAUUGGCUAAGCGUAACUGGACUGAACGUUGGAGGGUGAAAACCUGCUGAGCGCUAAGGACUCCAAGUAAGAACAAGGGCAAGGCAGAGCAGUGAGCGCUGGAGUCUUCCUUGCAAAUGUACAUGUGGACCGACCUUUUGGGAAGCCUUUUUAUUUUUGGAAAUGUUGUGUAAUUUUCCUAAACUAGGCUCACUCUAAUCUUUAUAAAACAUGUUUGUAACUAAAUGUUAAGUAUGGCCAUACGACUUUUUAAAAAGUUUUUUUUUCUAUGGGUUUUUGAGGCAUUUUGUUAAAUGAAAACAUUUAUAUU